UACAGAGGUCCCAAGCGUUGUUCGGAUUCACUGGGCGUAAAGGGUGCGUAGGAGGUCAUGUAAGUCGGAUGUGAAAUCCCGUCGCUUAACGAUGGAACUGCAUUCGAUACUGCCGUGCUUGAGGACUGGAGAGGAGACUGGAAUUUACGGUGUAGCGGUGAAAUGCGUAGAUAUCGUAAGGAAGACCAGUGGCGAAGGCGGGUCUCUGGACAGUUCCUGACGCUGAGGCACGAAGGUCAGGGGAGCAAACGGG
rnacentral:rRNA from 1 species